rfam:Triticum aestivum genome assembly, contig: Triticum_aestivum_CS42_TGACv1_scaffold_374950_5AL
AUUCUACUCCCUCCGUCCGGAAAUACUUGUCGAAGAAAUGCAUAAAAAUAGAUGUAUCUAGAAUUAAAAUACGUCUAGACACAUUCAUUUCUCCGACAAGUAUUUCCGGACAGAGGGAGUAGUAU